rnacentral:rRNA from 1 species
UACGAAGGGGGCUAGGCGUUGUUCGGAAUCACUGGGCGUAAAGCGCACGUAGGCGGAUUUUUAAGUCAGGGGUGAAAUCCCGGGGCUCAACCUCGGAAACUGCCUUUGAUACUGGAGAUCUUGAGUCCGGGUAGAGGUGAGUGGAAUUCCCAGUGUAGCGGUGAAAUGCGUAGAUAUUGGGAGGAACACCAGUGGCGAAGGGCGGCUCACUGGACCGGAACUGACGCUGAGGCGCGAAAGCGUGGGGAGCAAACGGG